rnacentral:rRNA from 1 species
GUCUACGGCCAUACCACUCUGAACGCGCCCGAUCUCAUCUGAUCUCGGAAGCUAAGCCGGGUCGGGCCUGGUUAGUACUUGGAUGGGAGAAUGAUGAUCCCUGAAGCUGAGGGUG